CUGGGAUGAACCGAUGCAUUUGAUGCGGCAACGUCUCGCGUCGAUUGAACUGCCUCGUCUCCGUUCCCUCCCGUUAGCGUCGGUGAAACGGAAGCCUGGGCGCGCGCUUGACGGUGUUUGCAGCGGGGUUAGCGAGUAAUUCAAGCGUCGCAGCAUACGGAGUAAAUGGAAAGCGCCGAUUUUGCAUGCGCCGCCUUCCCUUGGUCAUUGCACCCGAGCUUAAUACGCCCCCGAUAGAUGGACGGAGGGAGUAAAUUAUAAGAUGAUUUGGAAGUAUAGCAUACCCUAUCAAGAUUGCGUAAGGGAGAUCCGCGGUGGCCGCUGCAUUCCAUCGCGCCUCCACACAGGGGUGAGAUGCCUUGUCGAGCACCUUCGCCGAUAUGACCUCGAUCGAUCUGUUGGUUGAUGUGGCGGUAUCAGCAGGGAACGAAACGCCGUGAAGCAGCGGGGAGGAUGGAAUAUCGAGUCGCUGACUGCAGUGCGAGAUGCUGCGAUGCGGUCGGGAGGAUUGGGAUUGCCGGAGGCUGGGGAACGAGCGCCGCUAGCAGAUCGGAG
rnacentral:lncRNA from 1 species